rnacentral:rRNA from 1 species
CCUACGGGAGGCUGCAGUGAGGAAUAUUGGUCAAUGGCCGGAAGGCUGAACCAGCCAAGUCGCGUGAGGGACGACUGCCCUAUGGGUUGUAAACCUCUUUUAUAAGGGAAGAAUAAAUGCUACGUGUGGCCGAAGUGAGAGUACCCGAAGAAAAAGCAUCGGCUAACUCCGUGCCAGCAGCCGCGGUAAUACGGAGGAUGCGAGCGUUAUCCGGAUUUAUUGGGUUUAAAGGGUGCGUAGGCGGAACAUUAAGUCAGCGGUAAAAUCGAGGGGCUCAACCCCUUUAAGCCGUUGAAACUGGUGAUCUUGAGUGGGCGAGAAGUAUGCGGAAUGCGUGGUGUAGCGGUGAAAUGCAUAGAUAUCACGCAGAACUCCGAUUGCGAAGGCAGCAUACCGGCGCCCGACUGACGCUGAGGCACGAAAGCGUGGGGAUCGAACAGGAUUAGAUACCCCUGUAGUC